GUUGAACGCUGGCGGCGUGCCUAAUACAUGCAAGUCGAGCGAACAGACGAGGAGCUUGCUCCUCUGACGUUAGCGGCGGACGGGUGAGUAACACGUGGAUAACCUACCUAUAAGACUGGGAUAACUUCGGGAAACCGGAGCUAAUACCGGAUAAUAUAUUGAACCGCAUGGUUCAAUAGUGAAAGACGGUUUUGCUGCCACUUAUAGAUGGAUCCGCGCCGCAUUAGCUAGUUGGUAAGGUAACGGCUUACCAAGGCGACGAUGCGUAGCCGACCUGAGAGGGUGAUCGGCCACACUGGAACUGAGACACGGCCCAGACUCCUACGGGAGGCAGCAGUAGGGAAUCUUCCGCAAUGGGCGAAAGCCUGACGGAGCAACGCCGCGUGAGUGAUGAAGGUCUUCGGAUCGUAAAACUCUGUUAUUAGGGAAGAACAAAUGUGUAAGUAAAUAUGCACGUCUUGACGGUACCUAAUCAGAAAGCCACGGCUAACUACGUG
rnacentral:rRNA from 1 species